GUGCAGCAGCCGCGGUAAGACGGGGGGUGCAAGCGUUAUCCGGAUUCACUGGGUUUAAAGGGUACGUAGGCGGAUUGGAAAGUAUGGGGUGAAAUCCCAGGGCUCAACCCUGGAACUGCCUCAUAAACUAUCAGUCUAGAGUUCGAGAGAGGUGAGUGGAACUCCGAGUGUAGAGGUGAAAUUCGUAGAUAUUCGGAAGAACACCAGUGGCGAAGGCGGCUCACUGGCUCGAUACUGACGCUGAGGUACGAAAGUGUGGGGAGCAAACAGGAUUAGAUA
rnacentral:rRNA from 1 species